ensembl:snRNA U2 U2 spliceosomal RNA
GCAGCAAACGGCCUUUUGGAUAAGAUCAAGUGUAGUAUCUGUUCUUAUCAGUUUAACAUCUGAUAUGUCCUCCAUGUGAGACCUGCAUAUUAAAUGGGUUUUUAGCACUGGGAGCUGAAAGAGGGGCUUACUCCUUUUUCUCCACAUGUUGACCUGGCACUGCAGUGUUGCUGAGAAUGGUGCACCUUUC